rnacentral:rRNA from 1 species
CAGUAGCCGCGGUAAUACGAAGGGGGCUAGCGUUGCUCGGAAUGACUGGGCGUAAAGGGCGCGUAGGCGGAUUGCGCAGUCAGAUGUGAAAUUCCUGGGCUUAACCUGGGGGCUGCAUUUGAGACGCGUAGUCUAGAGUGUGAAAGAGGGUCGUGGAAUUCCCAGUGUAGAGGUGAAAUUCGUAGAUAUUGGGAAGAACACCGGUGGCGAAGGCGGCGACCUGGUUCAUAACUGACGCUGAGGCGCGAAAGCGUGGGGAGCAAACAGGAUUAGAUACCCGGGUAGUCCCUGUCUCUUAUAA